rnacentral:tRNA from 1 species
CCACUGGUAGUUCAGUGGUAGAAUUGUUGCCUUCCACACGGGAGACUUGGGUUUGAUUCCCAGCCAAUGUA